rnacentral:rRNA from 1 species
CCUACGGGGGGCAGCAGUGGGGAAUAUUGCACAAUGGGGGAAACCCUGAUGCAGCGACGCCGCGUGAGUGAAGAAGUAUUUCGGUAUGUAAAGCUCUAUCAGCAGGGAAGAAGAAAGACGGUACCUGACUAAGAAGCCCCGGCUAACUACGUGCCAGCAGCCGCGGUAAUACGUAGGGGGCAAGCGUUAUCCGGAUUUACUGGGUGUAAAGGGAGCGUAGACGGCUGUGCAAGUCUGAAGUGAAAGCCCAGGGCUCAACCCUGGGACUGCUUUGGAAACUGUGGAGCUAGAGUGCUGGAGAGGUAAGUGGAAUUCCUAGUGUAGCGGUGAAAUGCGUAGAUAUUAGGAGGAACCCCGAUUGCGAAGGCAGCCUGCCGGGGUGCGACUGACGCUGAGGCUCGAAGGUGCGGGUAUCAAACAGGAUUAGAUACCCUAGUAGUC